rnacentral:rRNA from 1 species
UACGAAGGGGGCUAGCGUUGCUCGGAAUCACUGGGCGUAAAGCGCACGUAGGCGGAUUGUUAAGUCAGGGGUGAAAUCCUGGAGCUCAACUCCAGAACUGCCUUUGAUACUGAGGAUCUUGAGUUCGGGAGAGGUGAGUGGAACUGCGAGUGUAGAGGUGAAAUUCGUAGAUAUUCGCAAGAACACCAGUGGCGAAGGCGGCUCACUGGCCCGAUACUGACGCUGAGGCACGAAAGCGUGGGGAGCAAAGCAGG